rnacentral:rRNA from 1 species
CCUACGGGUGGCAGCAGUGAGGAAUAUUGGUCAAUGGGCGCGAGCCUGAACCAGCCAAGUAGCGUGAAGGAUGACUGCCCUACGGGUUGUAAACUUCUUUUAUAAAGGAAUAAAGUGAGGCACGUGUGCCUUUUUGUAUUUACUUUAUGAAUAAGGAUCGGCUAACUACGUGCCAGCAGCCGCGGUAAUACGGAGGGUCCGAGCGUUAUCCGGAUUGAUUGGGUUUAAAGGGAACGUAGAUGGGUUGUUAAGUCAGUUGUGAAAGUUUGCGGCUCAACCGUAAAAUGGCAAUUGAUACUGGAAGCCUUGAGUACAGUUGAGGGAGGUGGAAUUCGUGGUGUAGCGGUGAAAUGCUUAGAUA